rnacentral:rRNA from 1 species
CCAAUAGCGUAUAUUAAAGUUGUUGCAGUUAAAAAGCUCGUAGUUGAAUUUCGGGAUCAGACUGUCGGUCGUGCCUCGGUACGCACUGGCAUUAUUGGUUUCUACCUUCUGAAGAACCGCGAUGUCAUUAAUUUGGUGUCGCGGGGAAUCAGGACUGUUACUUUGAAAAAAUUAGAGUGUUUAAAGCAGGCUUACGCUUGAAUACAUUAGCAUGGAAUAAUGAAAUAGGACGUUUGAUUCUAUUUUGUUGGUUUCUAGGAUCGACGUAAUGAUUAAUAGGGAUAGUUGGGGGCAUUAGUAUUCAAUUGUCAGAGGUGAAAUUCUUGGAUUUAUUGAAGACUAACUACUGCGAAAGCAUUUGCCAAGGAUGUUUUCAUUAAUCAAGAACGAAAGUUAGGGGAUCGAAGACGAUCAGAUACCGUCGUAGUCUUAACCAUAAACUAUGCCGACUAGGGAUCGGAUGAUGUUAAUUUUAUAAUGACUCAUUCGGCGCCUUACG